GAGUGGAAGGGGCAAGGCCAGAACCCCAGAACUAGGAAGACCACUUAGAAAACUAGAGUAAGAGUCCAGCUUCUUCCACCCCCAACCCAGUCCGUCCACCUGCCUGACCAAGAGUGU
rnacentral:lncRNA from 1 species